GCUACCAGAAGUGAGCUGCACAUUGUACUUUGUCCGCUUCACUGUGGUCUAUGCUCUGAUUGACUAAAAAUAAUUUUUACUGGUGAACACUACCAGGUUUGGUCUGGAGAACAUAGUGUAAGGACUCAUCUGCAUACCCCAGUGAUGAUGGACACCUGUGAUUUACCUAACGCCCGCGAUGGCUGCGGACCCUCAGACGGACAUGUUGUCGGCCUCAGUGUUGCCCCCUGUCCAUGAAACUCCACGAGGUGUUGGCCAUUUCCAUCUUUAUUUCGUUCACAGGGAUAGUUUUCUGUCCUCUGAAGGUUUGCUGAGGCCAAAAAGCUGCAAGCCGCAAACAGCCGUGUUUACACUAAACAGGGGUAUCUAUCUGCAAGGCUUCAAAUGUCGACCCCCCCCCACGAUCAAAAGUUCUUCUUUUAUUUACAAAUGCUGUCAAUAAAAUUUUGCAGAGGGAGAACAAAUCUC